UGCAAGUCGAACGGUAACAUUUCUAGCUUGCUAGAAGAUGACGAGUGGCGGACGGGUGAGUAAUGCUUGGGAACUUGCCUUUGCGAGGGGGAUAACAGUUGGAAACGACUGCUAAUACCGCAUAAUGUCUUCGGACCAAACGGGGCUUCGGCUCCGGCGCAAAGAGAGGCCCAAGUGAGAUUAGCUAGUUGGUAAGGUAACGGCUUACCAAGGCGACGAUCUCUAGCUGUUCUGAGAGGAAGAUCAGCCACACUGGGACUGAGACACGGCCCAGACUCCUACGGGAGGCAGCAGUGGGGAAUAUUGCACAAUGGGGGAAACCCUGAUGCAGCCAUGCCGCGUGUGUGAAGAAGGCCUUCGGGUUGUAAAGCACCUUCAGUUGUGAGGAAAAGUUAGUAGUUAAUACCUGCUAGCCGUGACGUUAACAACAGAAGAAGCACCGGCUAACUCCGUGCCAGCAGCCGCGGUAAUACGGAGGGUGCGAGCGUUAAUCGGAAUUACUGGGCGUAAAGCGCACGCAGGCGGUUUGUUAAGCUAGAUGUGAAAGCCCCGGGCUCAACCUGGGAUGGUCAUUUAGAACUGGCAGACUAAAGUCUUGGA
rnacentral:rRNA from 1 species